rnacentral:lncRNA from 1 species
CAGGGCUUUGAAGUGGAAAGGGAGUGGGUGGUGGGGGGGUGUGUGGCUUUAGGGUCUCUGGCUUAGGAAGCUGAGUCUCCGUAGUGCCAUUCAUACAGAUGGAAUGAGGGAAGAAGCAGUUUCAUGGGAAAGUAGUAAAUUUGAUUGAGUAACAAGAGCUUGGGGGAUCCAGAAGAGAGCUAGGUUUGCAGUUCAGGAGUCCAGGAGAGAGUCAGACUGAAAACAUAAGCCCAUGGAUAGUCAGUCAUUGAAGCCAUGGGAAUGAAGAUCACCUAUGGGAAACACAGAUAGAAGCGAAUGUUACCACAAUGAAGUGUGGUCUAUACAAUUAAUUGCUGCAAAGAGGUCAGAUGAGAAAAUGAAGAUGUUAUGUGUCUUUCUCAGCCCAUGAGUAGUAGAUUUUCAGUUCAAAUUCCAACCUUUCUCCAAAUCCAUAUUCCGUACACAGCACCACCUCUCAGCAUAUAUUUGCUAUGUGGUAGCAGAAUCCUUGGUGAAUGAGCAUCGAAAGGCAUGUUUUGAUCAGGCUGGGAAAUGAGGAGAGAAUGCGAAGAUCUGAAAGGAUCCCCUGUCUGGAAUAAAUCUUGGUAAAAGAUGCUACGAAAGCUGGACCUAGGACAGGAGGAUAUGAAGAGCAAAGGGAGACAGGCAGAAUGAGAAUAUGGUAAUAGCAGAGGUACCAAAGCGUUGUGUAGGGGAAUAAAGUCCAGCAAAGUGGGGAGGAGCAGAAAAGAAGAACCCACGUCCUAGGCCAGCCUACACAGCACUCCUGAGCAGGGGAGAUCUGGUAAUUACGCUAUUGAUUUUACACAUCUGGAUAAAGGAAAUGCCAGUGAUAGGCUGCUGACAACCACCUUUCUCUACUACGCUCCUUAUGUGCAUAUCCAACCACUUAUUUGAAACCUCUACUCUUGAUUUCUCAAGAGUAGAAUUCUUUCCCAAGCCUCCCCAUUUCAGUAAAUUAUUCUACCUUCUAUCCAGUUGUUCAAGAAGUCAUUCUUGACUCUUCAUUCCUGUUUAUUCCAUAUAAUCAUUAUCUUUGCUGUGUAGCAAUAUUACUAGAAACUUAGUGGCUUGAAUCAUACUUCUGAUCUCAGUUUCUAUGGGCAGGAAUACAGGCAUAGCUUCCUCUGCUUCAGGGUCUCUCAGGGCACCACAAUCAAUCAUUCAUCAAAAAUAACAGGCAGCAAAGGACUGAGAAUAGAGUGAUCUGUGAUAUCUUCCCACUAAUCCCAAGUCAGGAGAGAGAGAGAAUGAAGAUCCAUUGCUGUAGAGGAACAAACUGAACGUGUUGAAGGUCCCGCAAGGCCAAUGUGGCUGGAAUGCAGACACAAAGCCAGGAGGAACAAGAGAUGGGGCUGACAAGAGAGGCAGGAGUCAGAUCUCAUGGGAACUGUCACCUGCAGUGUUGCAGACCUCUUUGAAUACACCAUGAGCACUGUGGAUUCUCGCCUCUGGAGAAUAAAAAUCACAUACAGAAAAGUUCAGACAACUUUAAGGAGUUUGAAGAAUCCCUGCUAGUCGUGGACCCAUCUGGGGUUGGUGGAUUCCUCACCAUGACUCUUUGGAUUCAGAAGUCAUAUAAGAUGCAGUUUAACAAAUAUUGGAAGUCAAAUGAGCAUUCUGCGGAAAAACAGCUUCUUCCAUACAUCAUCUUCUGGAAUAUCCCAGAUCUGGAAGAGGUCACAGGAAUGUCCAUUCAUAGGGAGCUCUACCUGGAGCUCAGAGAUGAUUGAGAGAGGGUAUUCAUCAUGGAUGUGUCCAAGUGAAGGUAGUUUGGAAAGAAACAAAGUUACCCUUUUUUCUCACUAAACAUCUUAGGGUCCCCAUUAGCAGGAAGGAAGGAAGAGGACAGGUGAGCUCCCUGGUAUUGAUGUAUUUACAGAGAACCUAGGCAUCAGCCAUACAUACAGAGGACACUCAUUUGGCCAGAAUUUGGGCUUUGACUUUAAUUAAAUUCCCUUGCUCCCAAUAAGACCUCUCUUAAUCUGAAAACAAUUUGUCAUAAGUGAUGUACCUGCCAAGACCUCAUGGCAAAGAGGCAGGGGGUACCUAGUAAAUGUUGCUGACAAACUCCAGCAUGACUCUAAAGGGACAGUGGCUUCCUUUGGAUGGUCAUGUGCUGCUGCUGGACAUAGCAAUCAGAAGGACAGUGGUGAACACCCAGGAGUGAACCAAGAUGCAAAGUUCAAGUCCGAGGGAAGAAGGGUGCAGUGCGGAAGAAGGGAAGGCAGAUGCUGCAGCCCUGCCUACAAGCAAGGAGGGAGCCAUUAAGAGCCCCAAGCUGGCCAGGCGCAGUGGCUUGCGCCUGUAUUCCUAAUCCCGGCACUUUGGGAAGCCAAGGUGGACGGAUCACCUGAGGUCAGGAGUUUGAGACCAGCUUGACCAACAUGGAGAAACUCUGUCUCUACUAAAAAUACAAAAUUAGCCAGGAGGCUGAGGCAGAAGAAUUGCUAGAAUCCGGGAGGUAGAGGUUGCAGUGAGCCGAGAUCGUGCCAUUGCACUCUAGCCUGGGCAACAAGAGCGAAACUCCAUCUCAAAAAAACAAAAAAGCCCCAAGCCUACUUUAUCAGACAGAGGAAUCAAGUUGUAUUUCCUUCUCACCAAGAGACGCUGGAAAGCUGUAAUCUUACACCAGUGGAGAAAGUGAGAGGAAAAUAAACCCUUUCUAAGGAUGAAUCCUGAAAGCCUUUCACAGACAAUGCUGCUUCUAUAAGAAUGACCUGUGAUGGCUAAGCCAUCACAGUCUUCAUUCCAAUUGACAUUCUAGGUAAACCUGCGCACAACUUUUUCUGUGUAUUUUCCAAAAAAGGAUCAUUUUAUAAAGGCUCAAGUUAUUUA